rnacentral:rRNA from 1 species
GUGCCAGCAGCCGCGGUAAUACGUAGGGGGCGAGCGUUGUCCGGAAUUACUGGGCGUAAAGGGCGUGUAGGCGGCCUUUCAAGUCGGCUGUGAAAGUCCCCGGCUCAACCGGGGGAUUGCAGUCGAAACUGGGGGGCUUGAGUGCAGGAGAGGGGGGUGGAAUUCCCGGUGGAGCGGUGAUAUGCGUAGAUAUCGGGAGGAACACCGGUGGCGAAGGCGACCUUCUGGCCUGUUACUGACGCUGAGGCGCGAAAGCCAGGGGAGCGAACAGGAUUAGAUACCCUGGUAGUCCUGGCUGUAAACGCUGGGUACUAGGUGUAGGGGGUUUAGAUACCUUCUGUGCCGUAGUUAACGCAUUAAGUACCCCGCCUGGGGAGUACGGUCGCAAGGCUAAAACUCAAAUAAAUUGGCGG